rnacentral:rRNA from 1 species
CCUACGGGAGGCUGCAGUGGGGAAUAUUGCGCAAUGGGCGAAAGCCUGACGCAGCGACGCCGCGUGAGAGAUGAAGGUCUUCGGAUCGUAAACCUCUGUCAGCAGGGAAGAACGGUCACUGUGCUAAUCAGCAGUGAAUUGACGGUACCUUCACAGGAAGCACCGGCUAACUCCGUGCCAGCAGCGGCGGUAAUACGGCGGGUGCGAGCGUUAAUCGGAAUUACUGGGCGUAAGGCGCUCGUAGGCGGUAUGUAAAGUCAAGGGUGAAAUCCCCGCGUUCAAGGUGGGAACUGCCUUUGAAACUGGCAAACUGGAGUGUGUGAGAGGAUAGUGGAAUUCCAGGUGUAGGAGUGAAAUGCGUAGAUAUCUGGAGGAACAUCAGUGGCGAAGGCGACUAUCUGGCACAUAACUGACGCUGAGGAGCGAAAGCGUGGGUAGCAAACAGGAUUAGAUACCCGAGUAGUC